rnacentral:rRNA from 1 species
CGGAACGGGUGAGUAACGCGUGAGGAACCGGCCUCAAAGAGGGGGACAACAGUUGGAAACGACUGCUAAUACCGCAUAAGCCCACGGCUCGGCAUCGAGCAGAGGGAAAAGGAGCGAUCCGCUUUGAGAUGGCCUCGCGUCCGAUUAGCUAGUUGGUGAGGUAACGGCCCACCAAGGCGACGAUCGGUAGCCGGACUGAGAGGUUGAACGGCCACAUUGGGACUGAGACACGGCCCAG